rnacentral:rRNA from 1 species
UACGUAGGGUGCGAGCGUUGCCCGGAUUUAUUGGGCGUAAAGGGCGCGUAGGCGGCUGUUCAAGUCGGGGGUGAAAUCCCGUGGCUCAACCACGGAAUGGCCUUCGAUACUGGACGGCUGGAGACCGGAAGAGGUGAGUGGAACUGCGAGUGUAGAGGUGAAAUUCGUAGAUAUUCGCAAGAACACCAGUGGCGAAGGCGGCUCACUGGUCCGGUUCUGACGCUGAGGCGCGAAAGCGUGGGGAGCAAACAGG